GAGAGCUGCAGCGGACAAACGCGAUUGGUGCCGACGAGAGCGCUGGUGAUUCCGCAACACAGGCAGAGCAGAGCGGGCGAAAGGAGCCGAGCUGCAACACAGCCACAUGUUUAAGCCGUCUAUUUGGACAGAAUUACUCUGGAAUUAGCCGUUUUAAAAAGAAGAGGAAGAUAUUGAAAACACCAAAUUGAGACUGCGGUGUUGGUAUGAAUUAUUCGCUCAGGGUCUCACAGGAAACCUAGCGGAGCACAACCGGCGAAUUCAAGCGGAGCCGAAGGAGACCAACUGUUAGCUAGCGUUAGCCUGUUAGCUAUCCGUUAGCUCAGGAGCCGCUAUUCUGUCCACUCUCGCCAGGCACCUGCUGCCCCGUGCUGUAGCCAGUAAGUCGGUAACACUCAACGCCGUGGGGUCCCGCUCUAAUAUUGUCAAGUAUUUUUGUCUAAAGUCCCGGGGUGACACUACAGAAGGGGAGAACCGUGACCGGUUGACGUUGGGACCGACACAGGCGAAACAAGCGCUGUCCUCAAGUGGCCGUUCACCAUGGACAACGCACACACAAAGACGGUUGAAGAAGUUUACAGCUUUUUUAACGUGAACGAAAGCACAGGUCUGAGUUCAGAGCUAGUGAAGAAACAGCGGGAACGAUAUGGACCAAACGAGUUGCCAGCUGAGGAAGGUAAAUCCCUUUGGGAACUUGUGAUUGAACAGUUUGAAGAUUUGCUCGUGAGGAUCCUUUUACUUGCUGCCUGCAUAUCCUUUGUGCUGGCCUGGUUUGAAGAGGGAGAAGAAACCGUUACAGCCUUUGUGGAGCCUUUUGUUAUCCUGCUUAUUCUCAUAGCAAAUGCCAUUGUAGGAGUCUGGCAGGAGCGAAAUGCAGAAAAUGCCAUCGAGGCACUUAAGGAGUAUGAGCCAGAAAUGGGGAAGGUGUAUCGCCAGGACAGGAAAAGUGUCCAGAGAAUCAAGGCCAGGGACAUUGUGCCUGGGGACAUCGUGGAGGUGGCAGUUGGUGAUAAAGUGCCUGCAGACAUCAGGCUGACUUCUAUCAAGUCGACAACACUGAGGGUAGACCAAUCAAUUCUCACAGGAGAGUCUGUGUCUGUGAUCAAACACACCGACCCUGUGCCUGACCCACGGGCUGUCAACCAGGACAAGAAGAACAUGCUCUUUUCUGGCACCAACAUUGCAGCUGGUAAGGCUGUUGGCGUGGUGGUGGCCACAGGCGGCAACACAGAGAUUGGCAAAAUCCGAGAUGAGAUGGCAUCGACAGAGCAGGAGCGCACGCCACUGCAGCAGAAACUGGAUGAGUUCGGACAGCAGCUAUCCAAGGUCAUUACACUGAUCUGCAUCGCUGUGUGGAUCAUCAAUAUCGGACAUUUCAAUGACCCCGUCCACGGAGGCUCCUGGAUCCGAGGUGCUGUCUACUACUUCAAGAUCGCCGUGGCUCUGGCAGUUGCUGCUAUCCCUGAGGGUCUUCCUGCUGUCAUCACUACUUGCCUGGCUUUAGGAACACGGCGCAUGGCCAAGAAGAAUGCCAUUGUCCGCAGUUUGCCAUCUGUGGAGACCCUUGGCUGUACAUCUGUCAUCUGCUCUGACAAGACCGGCACGCUCACCACCAAUCAGAUGUCUGUGUGCAGGAUGUUUAUCAUUGAUCAGGCAGAGGGUGACCACUGUUCAUUAAAGGAAUUCACCGUUACCGGCUCCACAUAUGCCCCAGAUGGAGAAGUGUUCCAUGAUGGCAAACCAGUCAGAUGUUCCCAGUAUGAUGCCUUGGUGGAGCUGGCCUCUAUCUGUGCUCUCUGUAAUGAUUCCUCACUGGACUAUAAUGAGACCAAAGGUGUGUAUGAGAAGGUGGGUGAGGCCACAGAGACAGCGCUCACAUGCCUGGUGGAGAAGAUGAAUGUGUUUGAUACAGAUGUCAAAGGCCUGUCCAAGAUUGAGAGAGCCAAUGCCUGUAAUUCUGUGAUCAAGCAGCUCAUGAAGAAAGAGUUUACACUGGAAUUUUCCAGAGACAGGAAGUCCAUGUCUGUGUACUGCACUGCUAAUAAGGCCCGCUCCUCUGUUGGAAAGAUGUUUGUGAAGGGUGCUCCUGAGGGAGUGAUUGACAGGUGCACGCACAUCCGUGUAGGCAGCAACAAGGUGCCCUUGACCCCUGGCAUCAAGGAAAAGCUAAUGUCUGUGAUCAGGGAAUAUGGAACUGGCAGGGACACCCUGCGCUGUCUGGCUCUCGCCACCCGAGACCACCGCAUGAGCAAGGACGAGCUGGCGUUGGAGGACUCCACUCGUUUUAUUGAGUAUGAGACUGAUCUGACAUUUGUUGGCUGUGUGGGCAUGCUGGAUCCCCCCAGGGCAGAAGUGGCAGCCUCUAUUCGACUCUGUCGCCUUGCAGGCAUCCGAGUAAUCAUGAUCACUGGAGACAAUAAGGGGACAGCUGUGGCUAUCUGCAGACGCAUUGGUAUUUUCGGAGAGGAUGAUGAUGUUUCCAGCAUGGCUUUCACUGGCCGAGAGUUUGAUGAUCUGUCGCCUGCUGCACAGAGAGAUGCUGUGGUUAAGGCCCGCUGCUUUGCCCGUGUCGAGCCUUCACACAAGUCCAAGAUUGUUGAGUACCUGCAGUCCUACGAUGAAAUUACAGCUAUGACUGGUGAUGGAGUCAAUGACGCUCCAGCUCUAAAGAAGGCUGAGAUUGGUAUUGCCAUGGGCUCAGGCACAGCUGUGGCCAAGACCGCCUCUGAGAUGGUGCUGGCUGAUGACAACUUUUCCACCAUCGUAGCUGCAGUGGAGGAAGGCAGAGCCAUUUAUAACAACAUGAAGCAGUUCAUCAGAUACCUCAUCUCCUCAAAUGUGGGCGAAGUUGUCUGCAUCUUCCUGACUGCAGCUCUUGGAUUCCCUGAAGCCCUUAUCCCUGUUCAGCUGCUCUGGGUCAACCUGGUGACUGACGGUUUGCCCGCCACUGCUCUGGGCUUCAACCCACCAGACUUGGACAUAAUGAGCAAGCCACCACGCAACGCCCGUGAGCCCCUCAUCUCUGGAUGGCUCUUCUUCAGAUACCUAGCCAUUGGAUGUUAUGUUGGUGCUGCCACCGUUGGUGCUGCUGCGUGGUGGUUUGUUGCUGCUGAGGAUGGUCCAAGGAUCACUUUUUACCAGCUGAGCCACUUCCUGCAGUGUGGUCCAGAGAAUCCAGACUUUACGGAUCUGGACUGUAAAGUGUUUGAGUCCCCUUACCCUAUGACCAUGGCUCUGUCUGUGCUGGUCACCAUCGAGAUGUGCAAUGCCCUGAACAGUGUGUCAGAGAACCAGUCCCUGCUGAGGAUGCCUCCCUGGGAGAACGUGUGGCUGCUGGGAGCCAUCUGCCUCUCCAUGUCCCUGCACUUCCUCAUUCUCUACGUGGAGCCUCUUCCUAUUAUCUUCCAGAUCACCCCCCUGAAUCUGACACAGUGGCUGAUGGUGCUAAAGAUCUCACUGCCUGUCAUACUACUUGACGAGAUGCUCAAGUUUGCCGCCAGGAACUACCUGGAGCCCGGUAAAGAACUGGAGAAGCCCGCCAGCUGCAAAAGCUGCUGCCUGUCUGCAUGCAUGGAGGGCAUCUCCUGGCCCUUCGUGGCCAUCUCCCUCCCCUUGGUCCUCUGGAUCUACAGCUCCGACACUAACUUGGCCGACAUGUUCUGGUCCUGACUGACUUGAGCACAACCUCGACUCUUUCCAUUUCCUCCCCCCGCCCCCACCGCCAUCACCUCCCUCUGUCCUCUCCCUCUUCCCUCUCUGCCUUCCUUACAUGUGCAUAGCUUGCGUGCGUGCGUGUUUGUAGAGUUAGCGUGUGUACUUGUGCGUGCCUAUCGCGUGUGUGUACGAGAAGGACCAACUUUAACACAUGAAAACGUAACAAUUAAUAUACUGUUAACAUUAAGAAGUCACCUGGUUUGAGUUGGGAACGGCUUUUUGAGUGGGUGAGGCUUUAAAUGAGAGUGUUAGAAGACCAUCACUCCCGUAGCUGUGGACUUUGUUGCUGGUUUGAAAGAAAAUAUACUGUUGCCAGUUUUUUUUUAUUAUUAUUAUUAUUAUUGUCAAUAUUGCCUUGAAGGUUUUUAUUUUUAAUGAUUUGGGGAACAUAUGUCUCAUGUCACUACAGUAACAGCAGCAUUUUGUUUCACUUCCCUCGUCAUGAAAGUAAUCCAAGAAGCCCAUUGAUUUGUAUAGAGAUUGAAUUUUAUGCAACUUUUUUUAUGGCUUUGUCAAUUGUUUGACCAGCGUGGCUUAGACAUACCGCCUUCAUUUAUUUUCUCAUGUUUACCAUUGUGUCUUCAGUAUAAACUCAGAGCUCUUUCAGAGAGGACAAGCUCCGUGUGGCAGACCAGGACGGGGGGAAAGGUUUGGGAGUGAACAUUCGAAUGCUCCGCUUAAACAAAAAGGAAAAAAAAAAUAUCAUGACAAACAAAAGCCCCAUGUCCUGUGACCAAGCAUGAACUGUAUGUGGUUUCUCAUCCCUAAUUUAAUGUGUAUGUCGUGUCCCCCCCCCCCUUCAUGUUGGAGUAUAAAUAAACCUCAUGGAUUUUUUUUUUUUUUUUUUACUAUAAUGAUUUGAAAAUAAGCCAGUUUUUCUGCACUGGGCAGAGCACAGCUACCUCAAUAUGAUAAAUUUUGUUUUGCUCAUCUCUAGAUGCUUUUCCGAAACGGUCUUGCUACAACGUAACAUCCGAGGUGUGCCCCUAUUUGCUUGUGCAGAAAACAAAGAACAAAAUUUUCCUUCCCUCUAACAUUUUUAAGGAUAUAUUUUGUUUGUGUUGAUUUUUUUUUUUUUGGACUCUCAUUAACUUUAUUUGUGUUUUGCUUUGGAGACAGAACUCCAUGCUGUUUGAUUCAAAGGACAGUGAUGUUAAGAAUCCUAAGAAAUAAAUACUAAUACACAACUCCAAAAUGAUCUUGGAAAUAAGAACCCAAAAUGUUGUUUUUUUUUUACGUCAAAGAAAAAUACACUCAUAAACCCUUUGAAUCAAAGUGUUUUCUGUCUUUAUUUAACAAGGCCAAUUAUGGACAUGAUUCAUAUCCAGUGUUUUUUUGUAUGUGCAUUUAAUACUUGAAUACAAAUCAUUUCAGACAUAUGAAUGCUCCGGUGUCCUUGGCACAACAUGACGGGAGAGCAGCGACAGAUUUGUGUAUAUGUGACUCUUACAGACUUUAAUAUCUCAAGGUCUUAGUUUGCUCUGGGCGUGACACACUCUGGUAGUGUACACAUGUUGGAUCUCAGCCCACACAGUCGACCGCACUGAUCUUAAGCAUUACUUUGUGUGAGGAAAUCUAAAGCAUGUUUUUUGGGUAGAUGCCUGGGUUUGUUCGCACCGUGUGUUUGUGUUCCACUUACAACUGUGUGCUUUUCUUCCUCAAUGCCUUCCAUUGGCUCCCCUGUCACUAGAGUUGGCUCUCAUAAAAGCUUCGCACAUUUGUAAGAGUGGGCUCCGAGGCUGGAGUCACCCUACCAUCCAGCAUGUGCGCUCACUCUUACUCCACACACCUCAGACACCAUGACGACCAGCAGUAUGUGUGUACCCUUGCACAAAUUUAAAGAAAAAAAGGACAUGUUUCACAGUAAUAAGACCAAAAUACAUGUACUUAAACACACACGCACACACACUUCUUAAUACACUUAUACCUCUGUGUGCAGAUGCUAUAUCAAUAUGACACUAUUCCAGUUUUGUGUGCAGGGAGAGUUUUCGACGCCCUCGAUGUUCCUUCUUGCAUGAAGAACUUGUUUCUGACUUCCAUGGUAGCUCGUCAUGUAGAGAAUCUUUAAAAUACCGGGUCGAACGGUCUUAGCUGUACAUCAGUGUACAAAACAUUCAUGCAUGCGUUCCAGCUGUACGUAGGCUUUGCGAUUUGUAUUUAUAGAUUCUAAUGUAUGAUACUCAAAUGACAUAUUAAGAUGGUUUUAAGAUGGAUAUAUCAUAGAUAUGUAAAUCACUGUUUUUAUUGUAACGGUUUGGGUAAUUUGCACAAUAGAAGACAUGGAGAAGUGACUCAUGCUGAACUUGACUGUGCUCUACUGGAGGUUUUUAAACGCUGAUUUCUCCCCUCCGACAGGUACUGUAGGCCGAUCACUGACUCAUUUACUUUCUGAUGAGGUAGUCCUUUGCAAUGAGGGCAACAGACUAACACUUUGAUUCAUUGGUAAUCCUGCAAUACAACAGUGUUCUCCUGUUUUCUUAUUGCAUCUGCGUUACUACUACUAUUAUUAUAAUUAUCAUCAUGUAUCUUUAUCAACUGCUGUAAAACUGUGAUCUAAUGUGAGGGGGCCCGUGCUGUCCCCUCAGCGACACCUGGUCGAAGAACAAUAUUAACCAUAUGUAAAAAUACGAUCAUUAUUGAUGAGUAAUGAUGGUUGUACAUGCAUUACUGAGGUUGUGGUUUCAGGUAAAUAAAACAAUAUAGUAUUUCAA